UGACCCCGAUACGACUGGCGGAGAGAGUGGGUAACCACGAGGGAGUAUCGGGGCCAGCGAGAUCGCCGACCGCCUGGGCACUGACA
rnacentral:ncRNA from 10 species